AUUGAACGCUGGCGGCAGGCCUAACACAUGCAAGUCGAGCGGAUGAAGGGAGCUUGCUCCUGGAUUCAGCGGCGGACGGGUGAGUAAUGCCUAGGAAUCUGCCUGGUAGUGGGGGAUAACGUCCGGAAACGGGCGCUAAUACCGCAUACGUCCUGAGGGAGAAAGUGGGGGAUCUUCGGACCUCACGCUAUCAGAUGAGCCUAGGUCGGAUUAGCUAGUUGGUGGGGUAAAGGCCUACCAAGGCGACGAUCCGUAACUGGUCUGAGAGGAUGAUCAGUCACACUGGAAAUGAGACACGGUCCAGACUCCUAAGGGAGGCAGCAGUGGGGAAUAUUGGACAAUGGGCGAAAGCCUGAUCCAGCCAUGCCGCGUGUGUGAAGAAGGUCUUCGGAUUUUAAAGCACUUUAAGUUGGGAGGAAGGGCAGUAAGUUAAUACCUUGCUGUUUUGACGUUACCAACAGAAUAAGCACCGGCUAACUUCGUG
rnacentral:rRNA from 1 species